GAACUUGCGUUCGAGUCCAAGAAAGAGUUGAAAUAUAAGCUGGUUUAAGGAAUAUCAACGUGUUUUUACUCCUAUUCCAAACAGACAGAACAGAAAUGUAAACAAGAUUGGUUAAGUUUCUGGAGGUCCCACCGAGAUGACUAACCCCUGGGGUUGAGUCACGGAGCACCAGCGUUAGAACCUCACGGUUCACGGU